UUAAACACAAUAUGGCAAAUUGAUUUACUCCAUCAAACUGUUACACUAAAAAAAAUACCAUAAACCAAGCGUUCGUACUCAUUUAAGGGUGUAGAAAAGCAAACUAAGCCACAUGAACCUCAAAAGCACAUUUUUGGAUAUUCAUAGGCAAAGCCAAUAUGUGAAUAAACACACACACACACCAGCAGUUCAAACUUUGCCGAAUAUUUCAUGCUCCUGAGAACAAUAAUCUUAUUUUCGAAGAAAACUAGUUAAAGGCCUAACCAGACCCAACU
rnacentral:lncRNA from 1 species